CAUCACUAAUAACUAUGAUAUUUAUAAUAUUAUAGAAAUGGUGUGCAAUUUUUCCAUAUAAGGACAUUGUAAUCUGUUAAUGUAAUAAAUAUUUAUUAAAAGAUCUUAUACAUAAGUUUAUUCAAAUUAGUUAUUUUCGGAUUUCUAACAUAGAAUAAAUGUAUUUGAUUUAAUAAAUCAUUGACAGAUUUAAUUAUAAUAUAGUGCUUAAAUUUUGAAAGAAAUUUUACAAUAAUAUGAUAAUUCAAUUUGUUAUAUUUAUUGUAUGCACUUAUAUGAUUAACAAUGCGAUAGAUUCAGGAUACCUUCGGGACCCGUCUUGAAACACGGACCAAGGAGUCUAACAUAUGUGCAAGUCAUUGGGUAUUUUUAAUAAAACCCAAUGGCAUAAUUAACUUAACUGUUUUUUAAAUGGGAUUAGUUUAUAUUUUAUUAUGAAAUAUUAAUUCAAUCCCGGGGCGUUCUAUACAGUUAUGCAUAAUGAUAUUUAUAUUAUUUAUGUCUCUAACUAGAGCGUACCUUGAGCAUAUAUGCUGU
rnacentral:rRNA from 1 species